AUAUUUUAACUAUCUCACAUUAGGUGUUGGGAUUAGAGGAAACUAGGAGUAAAGUACACUGCAAUCUUUUUGGUUUUUGUAGACAUGUAAAUUGCUUCAAAGAGAAGUGUAGGAGGAACUGACUGGAGGCAGCGGACAAAGCGGUAUAAUUUAUCUGCGGUUUAGUCCAUCUCAUUUUUGGGCGGAUAAUAAACCGCUGCGGACCAAAUUUAUUUGUAUGUAAAAACCGCUGCGGUUUUUUCUAUUUUUUUUGGUCCGGACCACUGCGGACUAUAAUUGAUGAAUGGUAAAUAAAAAACGGUCUGAUCCGUUGACGUUUUGUCCGCCCCAACCGCCGUAACCAUUCAAACCCUUUGUUAAACGAUUAGUUUU
rnacentral:sRNA from 1 species